UACGUAGGGUGCGAGCGUUGUCCGGAAUUAUUGGGCGUAAAGGGCUCGUAGGCGGUCUGUUGCGUCGGGAGUGAAAACUCAGGGCUUAAACCCUGAGCCUGCUUCCGAUACGGGCAGACUAGAGGUAUGCAGGGGAGAACGGAGUUCCUGGUGUAGCGGUGAAAUGCGCAGAUAUCAGGAGGAACACCGGUGGCGAAGGCGGUGGUCUGGGCCGGCACUGACGCUGAGGAGCGAAAGCGUGGGUAGCAAACAGG
rnacentral:rRNA from 1 species